CAGUAGCCGCGGUAAUACGUAGGUCCCGAGCGUUGUCCGGAUUUAUUGGGCGUAAAGCGAGCGCAGGCGGUUAGAUAAGUCUGAAGUUAAAGGCUGUGGCUUAACCAUAGUACGCUUUGGAAACUGUUUAACUUGAGUGCAAGAGGGGAGAGUGGAAUUCCAUGUGUAGCGGUGAAAUGCGUAGAUAUAUGGAGGAACACCGGUGGCGAAAGCGGCUCUCUGGCUUGUAACUGACGCUGAGGCUCGAAAGCGUGGGGAGCAAACAGGAUUAGAUACCCCGGUAGUCCCUGUCUCUUAUACA
rnacentral:rRNA from 1 species